AGAGUUUGAUCCUGGCUCAGGACGAACGCUGGCGGCAGGCCUAACACAUGCAAGUCGAACGCUCUCUUCGGAGGGAGUGGCGCACGGGUGAGUAACACGUGGGAACCUACCCUGAGGUACGGAAUAACCGUUGGAAACGACGGCUAAUACCGUAUGUCCCCCGCGGGGGAAAGAUUUAUCGCCUUGGGAUGGGCCCGCGGUCGAUUAGCUAGUUGGUGUGGUAAAGGCGCACCAAGGCGACGAUCGAUAGCUGGUCUGAGAGGAUGAUCAGCCACACUGGGACUGAGACACGGCCCAGACUCCUACGGGAGGCAGCAGUGGGGAAUAUUGGACAAUGGGGGCAACCCUGAUCCAGCCAUGCCGCGUGAGUGAUGAAGGCCUUCGGGUUGUAAAGCUCUUUCAGGUGGGACGAUGAUGACGGUACCACCAGAAGAAGCCCCGGCUAACUUCGUGCCAGCAGCCGCGGUAAUACGAAGGGGGCUAGCGUUGUUCGGAAUCACUGGGCGUAAAGCGCGCGUAGGCGGUCAUGCCAGUCAGGGGUGAAAGCCCAGGGCUCAACCCUGGAACGGCCUUUGAUACUGCAUGACUUGAGUUCGGGAGAGGGGCAUGGAAUUCCCAGUGUAGAGGUGAAAUUCGUAGAUAUUGGGAAGAACACCAGUGGCGAAGGCGGUGCCCUGGCCCGAGACUGACGCUG
rnacentral:rRNA from 1 species